AUUAAGGAUGGCAUGUUGUCCUUGUAACGAGGAUCCAGCAGGGUGGCCACCCAGUAAUCAGCACAAGUUAGAAUGUGGGCAACUCGACAGUCAUUGCGCAGGCACUUUGGUGACUCUAGAGAACCUCGGGCCGAUCGCAUGUCCCUGUGAUGGCGACUACACAUUCCGAUGUCUGCCCUAUCAACUCUCGAUGGUACUUUCUGCGCUUACCAUGGUGACCAUGGGUAACGGGAAUCAGGGUUCGAUUCCG